rnacentral:lncRNA from 1 species
UUUGAGGUUGUUCAAGUAAUAAAUAAAAACAAUUGAAUAAGGUUGUGCUUAUUGUUAAAUAUGGUCAUUUUUUUUAUAAAAAUGUUUCUAAUUUAACUAUAUAAUAUUUAUCACAAAUGAAAAUAUAAAGAAAUAAACUCCCCAAAAAACACUAAAACUAAAACCAAAACCAAAGUGAUGUUAUAUUAAAAGUGGUUUAAUUUAUGUUUCAUGUGAAGGAAGUUUUUGAUGUUUGGUGGCCAUCUAAUAUGAUGAAUAGGAAAUUAUGAAAAAAGGUCAUGAAGUUUUUAAAUAAUUUUAAAUCAGACCAAUCUAAUGAAGAAAAUUUUCACAAAUAUCGUGAAAGCAAAAUACUGCAAAUAUUUAAUGUCAUUACAUUUAAAUUUAGACCCAGAAUCAUUGUGAACUGGAACUCAAUACCCUCAAAUCUAACCAGGAUAUUUAUUCAUAUAAAUUUUGAAUACAUGAAAUUCAUAACUUUUUAUUCUAGUAAAACUAUAAUAUGAAUAUACAUCAUUCCACUAUACUCUUUGACAGAAAAAUCAAAUCUCGCUCUUUGCUAUUUUUCAAUUGGUUUAUUUCAAAGAUUCACAUUCUAAUAACAUGAUUUGUUUUGUUCAUUUUUUCAAAAGGUCAGUAGUUAAUAGCUAAGAAAUUUGUGUGCAUGACCUAUACCUAAGAAAAUACUUAUUUUAUAAUUUAUCAUUCCAAAAACUUUAGACAACUGUAACCUAAAUAUAAUAAACCUAAAAUUAAAAAAAACAAGCAAAACUACAGAGAAGAAAUGCAAAGGAUCAGUGUAAUUAUUCUAGAUCAGAGUAUUAACACAUCAUUUGGAUAUAAAUUUAUAAAUAUAUAUGUUUAUAUAUAUAUAUAUAUAUAUAUAUAUAUAUAUUAACUUUAUUGUCACAGUUAUUACUGAUUGGAUAGGUUUUAUGUCUUAACAUAAAAACAACAUUUAAAAAACAAGCACAAUUUGUAGAAUUUUCAGCUUAAAAAACUCAUUGUAAAUGCUACACAUUGAAUUUAAAUUUACAUUCAUAUAAAUUAGUGCAAUGAAUAUCAUAAUUUUAGGGUGUUGCUAUUGUCAUUACCACCAUAGUUUUUGCUGUUACCAUUACAACCUGCCAUCCACCACAUGUUAUCAUAGUUUUUGCUAAUGCCACCACAAGCUACCUUAAACUUGUAAUGCAUAUUACAAUGAAUGAAACGUACAUUUGUUAUAGAUGUAUAUUUUAGUGAUUCAUAAAAUGCAUUUAGGUGUGCAAUGCAAAUUUAGAACAGCUUGUGGUGGCAUUAGCAUAAACUAUCAUAACAUUAACAACACCCUAAAUUUUUUGUUAGAUUAUAUAUAUAUAUAUAUAUAUAUAUAUAUAUACAUAUACAUAAUUAAUUAAAAGCCUCAAUCUAAUAAUAAUAUAUAUAUAUAUAUAUAUAUAUAUAUAUAUAUUCCAACUUCAUGUUAUGCUUUACAGUUAUAAUUCAACACCAAAUGAAUAUUUAUUUAUUUAUUUAUUUACAAACCAUGUUAUUCAAAUAAUGUAUUUUGGUUGACUACUUGGAUUAUUAAUACUUCAAUAUAUGUAAAUAUUAAGAGAGAAGUGCUUGUGUUUCAUGUAAAGGCUUCCAAGUCAUUUUAUUUCAUAGACAUCAUAUUUAAGUCAAUACAUAUUUUCGAUUUUCAUUAGAAUUAUACACUGUUUGGUAAAUAAAUUAGGAUGUUAUUGCAAAUAUACUGAUUUACCAACACUGCUGAAAUGUUGAAGUUUCUGACUGAGUUUCAAAUUUUCCCCAACACUCAAAUAACAAUAACAUAACAAACGUCACCAAAUCUAUGAAUAAAAAUCUUUCAAAUCUUGCUAAAAAACAUCUCCUAUAUCUUCUCUUUACAAAAAUAUAAUAUCAAAACUCAUUUCAUAGCCAUAUCUAUGAAAAAAUCUCCCUUAAUACUAAUUCAAUCUUUAAAAAUAAACUUUCUUCAAAAUGUCUACAGAUUAUUAGUUUCAUAUUUAGAUAAUUAUCACAUGCAGCUCACCUAUUCUAAUAUUAUAAUUUCCUAUUACACACAUAUAUAAAAAUUUCAUCCAAUAUUCAUAGAAAAUUCCACACACACACAUAAA